CCAAUGUCCCAGUCCCUGGAGAGGUCUCACCCCUCACCGAGAUGCACUCAGGGCCUAUUAGGGGCUGAAAAUUCUGAUGCUAAGAAGCCUCAGGCUUCAUCUAAGUUACAACUAGAUGGAUAGUCAUUAACCUGUAGAGGAUUCCCUGCACAGCACAACAGGACGUCUGAGAGAUCCGUGCAGCUGUGCAUCUGAAGGUGGGUAGACUGGAUCCUCAGGAGAAGUGGAACUAGCAUGACCAGCAGAUGACAUCUUCUGCUUUAACCUGGACCAGUUUUUAGAUGACCCUGGACUCUCAGAAAAGCUGCUGGAGCUUCCUCAGUGUGCGAUUCCAGCAUAUCGUGGUGUUCAGAGGAGCAGCUAGAGGCUACCAACAGGAGGAGGGUGCUCACGGCUUCUUUCCAAGAGGAAGAACAAGAUGGUUUAAACAGACUUUCAAGGUAUUUGGGUGCUUACAAACCGCUGCGAAGCUGGAAGAGUGCAUGUCAGGGAAUCAGCCAUCAGUUUUCAAUUUUGCCAUACUCCUGUGGUCCAGAGUCAGAGUGCUGCCACCGGUGAGUCAGGAACCUGCAGGAAAUUGCUGCUGACUUCACAGCUUCUUCACAUCCUGAGAUGAGUGAAUGGCAGGGGAAUGCAGAGGCUGUUGAAAAACUUAUUUGUACAAAGCCCAUGUAUCUGGUGCCACUGCUGGAGGAAGAAGAAAAUGACUUCUGCCUCUUUUACUCCUUUCAAAUCUCAUGUGAAUGCAGCUCAUCGGCAGGUUGUAAAUUACAUCCAUCCCUCUGCACACAAGGGAAUCUGCAAACUGUAGUGGUAGGUGUCCAGAGCCUGUGAUACAGAGGGGAGCAGAAGAGAGGAAGGGGAGUGAAUGCUUAUUGUAGAACGAAACAAGACAAGACUAAAUAAUAUCCAGCCUAGCCAACAUUGCUUCAUAGAGUCAAAAUGCCUU